rnacentral:lncRNA from 1 species
UUCCUUACUUGUUACAUUUCGUACCUAUGAAUUAUUCCAUCAUAACUCCGGCUGAGUUACACUGGGACAGUGUAGUUUAAGUCUAGGGAGAGAUUUACUGAUAUAAUUUAUUUUAUUCUUAUAUAAAAGGAAUUUUAAUAAAUUAUGCUUAGCUAUUGAAAAUGGAACUAUAAACUUAUAUUGAUUUAAAUUUGAAUAUCUAACCAAUCUUUAGCACCAUUUUAGAUUUACUGAUUGCAGAUAGCACUAUAGAUGCUAAAGCAGAUCAACCUAUCAACUACACACUUGCCUUGACCGCAUAAAGUAACCAAAGCUG